CUAAAGCCACACAGUAAAUUGUACACGGGAUUACCAAGACCCUUGGAUUAAAUUAACUUAAAUACAUCCUACCAUUCAUAUUGCAUCAAUAGUCUAUCACCCUGAUCAACGUCUCAGAUUGGAUGUUCUGCCAAACAGACGCGGUAGUCUGCCAAUCCUCGUAGCCCUCAGCGUCGCCGAUCCCCGCAACCCCGCCGACAAUUCCUAGAUUUCCGGAUUGACUCCACCGGAAAUCAUGCCAGAAAAACGGAUCCGCAGCAACUUGCACGGCCCCACCUUCCUUCCUCUCCUCCCGUGUGCUUCCUUCCCCAUCGCCGCGAGUCGACCCGGCCUCUGGUCGUCUCCCGCGCUACUGCAAGCCGCCGCCCACCUCCUCUGCCGGACGCCAUGGCCAUCGAGCAAAGCUCCGUCGAACCUUCCCGACCAGAUCGACGAUGACGACAAGCGGAUCUGCCCCCCACGAAGAGGUAGAAAGCAAGGGGGAGGCGGCGGCGGCCCCAGUGGGCGCCGACGAAGCCCGCCAGCGCCGCCAGGAGGAUGAGCCCGCCUAGGAUGGACACGGGCCAGCGCGAACUCCAACCCCCGCCCAUCCCCAUGCGUACGCGAUCAGACCCCCGAGGCGAUGACGGGGACGACGCAGAUGUCCGCGUCACGCCCACCGUGAUGUUGGGGAUCACCCCCAUGUCUGGAUGCUCAAGCUGUGCUACUGCUGCUGACCCAGACUGUAUACAUACUUGUGCUAUGCAGCCACAUGAAUUCUUCCAAGAUGGUUAGCGAGACCACUGCCCCUUUAUCCUCUUCCUCCACCCCCUAUUCCUCUUUUAUGUCAUACCCCAAAGGAGAUCGAGAUCGAGAUUUGGGGAAAACGAGGCUAGGGUUCGUCCAGGAACGAGAAUAUGGUAUCAAGGAGGAAUAUACUGUAUUAGCUGUAAAGUAUUUGGGGUUCUUGAUCAUAGCAAAUGGCAUACACUUACAACCGAGGGCGCUGGCUUAUAUAGCUCAGCUAGCAACAGAACAGUAAACAGUAAUGCUACAGAAAGGUAAGUAACGCUUCAGGGGAUGGCGAGCCUUGUGAGCCAUCCGAUCUUCUCGCCUUCUUCCAUCUGUGACGUCCGUUAACUGAAUGAAGCAAUACUUGUAACUGAAGAUAUGCAGUGAGCUAAUAUUUUAUUCCUCUGUUAAUCCCACAAGCAUAUUGUGUUCCUCCAGAUCUAACCAAGUGAAAUCGUUGAUUUGGUGAUUGACUUCUCGGCUUCAUGGUGUGGGCCCUGCCAACGCAUCAAACCGGCCUUGAGAUGGCCCCUGCUUCCUCGACGCCAUCACCACGUCAACAAGCUCAGGAUUGGAAACAUUGACCCUGACUGUAGAUUGGCCUUCAACUCUAUGAUGGGUUGUUUUUUUAGAGGACUAUGAUGGAUUGUUUAAGGUGGGUCCAUUGUCUGCUACUUUAUUUUCAUGAAUUUUGGUCAUCCGUUCUUGCAGCCAAGUGACACUUUGACACCGCCAACAGUUGUAGUCGUGUUUGAUCUGCACAAGCAAUGAUCUAUAUUUCUCAUGCCUUGGCAUGCGCAGUGUGAGUCCGUGAUCUAUAUGCAUCAUAACAAAAACGGAAAACCAGAUCAUAUGAAAAGGAAGACAAAUAUAAAUUUAUUUAGCCUAAAAUUAAAACAGUGCAUAUGAAAACCAGAUCCUAAUUUUGGUGUUACAUUAUUUAGUCUCCAAAUAGUCUAUUUGAUACGUAUAGAAUCAUUCAAGUUUUUAAAUAUUCCUUCGAGAGUAGUGAUUCUUUCCAAAUUAAUGGCACAAAACACUAAUAGUGAUCUUAUAUUAUUUUGUCGGAAGUGGAAAGCCUAGAGCAUUUUUUCUUACUGCCCACUACUUUUCCAGGCACUACUAACCUCUUGUACAUGUGUGCAUAUUGGGACAAUGAUGAUUUUUCUUGGGGAUAAAUUAUUGCCGAGGAGGUUGAGCAGAGAUAGUUAGGUGGAACAUACGGAGACUAAUAUGUCCACCAAAAUGUUGAGUAACAUCUUGAGGGUGGGGUUGAGCGUCAUGACCGAGGACAGCAUGGGCAAUUGAUUAGCUGCUUGUAGCCGACUACUUGAUGAGGUUUAUGACAUCACCAAUCACAUAAGCACUUACCAUCAGGUGUGCAUUGACCCUUGAGAAGGCUUGAACAACAUCAUAUUGGCUUGUGAUUGUCUCUCCGCGGUUGAGCGCACCAAUUCCUCCACUAUCGACCAAUUGCUGGUUGGUGUCGGUAUGGAGGAUAUCAAAGCCAUGUCAUGCUCUUUGGCAUAAGUGACUUGUUCUCACAUUAGUAUCUUAGCUCAUCGAUUUGAACUUUUUGUAUGUUCUCGAGUGCACCAGUGUCAAUUUUUGUAGAUGGAGACGUACGUUGCACGUGCACAUUUACUAGUAAUUAUAGAUAAGGACUCUUGGCUUAAGCCUCCUUUAUCUCUUGUUAA